GAACUGCGAUAAGCAAUGCGAAUUGCAGGACCCGCGAGUCAUCAGAUCUUUGAACGCACUAAGCGCCGAGGGGGAAAUCCCCUCGGCAUGUUUGCUUCAGUGUUGAAACCAUCACCACCCAAGUGCGAUUGAAUGCCGCGCAUUCUCUCGUCAAAGAGGAACGCCUUGCGUUCGUACCCAAUGAAGUAGUCACUGCUGCUCCGCAGUCUAGUGAUUUCAUCGGCACUGCGGACGAGAAGGCGUAGAGCUUAGCGUCUUUAGAAAUAACUAAAACCUGAAGUAAGCAAGACUACCCGCUGAACUUAA
rnacentral:misc_RNA from 1 species